rnacentral:rRNA from 1 species
GACGAACGCUGGCGGCGUGCUUAACACAUGCAAGUCGAACGGAAAGGCCUCUUUCGGGGGGUACUCGAGUGGCGAACGGGUGAGUAACGCGUGAGUAACCUGCCCUUGACUUUGGGAUAACUUCAGGAAACUGGGGCUAAUACCGGAUAGGAGCUCCUGCUGCAUGGUGGGGGUUGGAAAGUUUCGGCGGUUGGGGAUGGACUCGCGGCUUAUCAGCUUGUUGGUGGGGUAGUGGCUUACCAAGGCUUUGACGGGUAGCCGGCCUGAGAGGGUGACCGGCCACAUUGGGACUGAGAUACGGCCCAGACUCCUACGGGAGGCAGCAGGGGGGAAUAUUGCACAAUGGGUGGAAGCCUGAUGCAGCAACGCCGUGUGCGGGAUGACGGCCUUCGGGUUGUAAACCGCUUUCGCUCAUGACGAAGCUUUGUGUGACGGUAGUGGGUAAAGAAGCACCGGCUAACUACGUG